GGAAUUUUCCGCAAUGGGCGAAAGCCUGACGCAGCCAUGCCGCGUGAAUGAUGAAGGUCUUAGGAUUGUAAAAUUCUUUCACCGGGGACGAUAAUGACGGUACCCGGAGAAGAAGCCCCGGCUAACUUCGUGCCAGCAGCCGCGGUAAUACGAAGGGGGCUAGCGUUGCUCGGAAUUACUGGGCGUAAAGGGAGCGUAGGCGGACAUUUAAGUCAGGGGUGAAAUCCCGGGGCUCAACCUCGGAAUUGCCUUUGAUACUGGGUGUCUUGAGUAUGAGAGAGGUGUGUAGAACUCCGAGUGUAGAGGUGAAAUUCGUAGAUAUUCGGAAGAACACCAGUGGCGAAGGCGACACACUGGCUCAUUACUGACGCUGAGGCUCGAAAGCGUGGGGAGCAAACAGGAUUAGAUACCCCAGUAGUC
rnacentral:rRNA from 1 species